rnacentral:tRNA from 1 species
GCCCAGUUAGCUCAGUCGGUAGAGCAUCUGACUUUUAAUCAGAGGGUCGCGGGUUUAAGUCCCUCAUCGGGCG